UUUUCUCCACCACACAUGUAUACCCAUAUAUCCCAUCCCCUCCCUUUUUGUUUUCUCUACUUUCCACUUUCCAGAACCUCCCUCUGGCUUUCUUUCUUUCUCUAGUUCUCUUUCUCAACUUUUUUUUUUCAUCUUCUUUCUCCGGUUCUCUUUCUCAACUUUUUUUUUUCAUUGUAAUAAGAAUCAGAGAAAUAGGUAAAGAGAGAAAGAACAGAUGGGUUAGAUGGCUCCGCUCUGCCGCCGCCGCUCGUCGUCCUCUGCCGCUGCCGCUCGUCUUCCUCCCAACACAGCCCAGAUGCAUCAUGUCUAGGAAGACUAGAGCUAAUAGGAAAUCCACCUCUACUUCUUCCUCCACCUUUGAUAGUGAGAGGUUUUGAGUGAGAAAAACUAGGAAGCUUAUGAGAAGCUGAACCUUCGUAGGAACAUUUGGGCUGAGAGAAAGGUUCUGUUAGAUGAACUAGAUGGUGAGAUUAGGAGAAACUUUGAUCGUCGGGACUAGUUACCCUUGUUGGAUGUUGAUCAUCCUCUUCUGGCUACCUUGAUCAGAGAGUUCUAUUCGAACCUCUCUGUCCACUCCUAUGAUUCCAACACUCUUGUGAGAAGUUGGAUACGGGGUGAUGAGUACACUAUUACUCCUUCAGUAGUGGCUGCUGCUCUUGGGGUGCCAUUGGUCCAGCAUCUUGUUUAUCCUUACGAUGAGUUUCCGCCCCUUGAUGACAUUAUGUCAUUUAUUACUGGUACUACUAUCUAGUAGGGUUUCGAUCCUCGGAUCACCUCUCACGAGCUAGCUAAGAUUCAUUAUCUUUUCUUUCAGAUUUCUUGCCAUUCCAUCUAGCCUAUCUCUCAUCUGCACACCAUUCCUUUGGAGAGAUGUGCGUUUUUGUAUGCCUUUAUUUCUGAUGCUCCUAUAAGCUUUUCUCAUCUUUUUAUUCAUUCUUUGAUUGAAGUUCAUAGGAGUAGUUCUACUGCUCAUGCUCUUUUCUUUCUCAUUUUUAUUCAUUGGAUUCUUUUGCAUCUAGGAUUAGAUGAGUUUCCUGCGUCUGAGCUUGUUCAUAUCAUUGCCCCUAUCGAUGCCACCUUUUUUAGGUAGAGGGUUGCUUAGAUGAGAGCAAGCUCUAAAUGCCCUAGGGUUGAGUCUUCUGGUAUCACACCUCCUCCUCCCUCUUUUACAGGUGAUACUACGGCUGAGUAGUCUGUUGAUCUUGCUGCUGUUACUGUUCCUCCACCUUCUACCUUGAAUGAUUCAGACAUUCGACGUAUGUUGUAGACUAUCAUGACCGUUCAAGUGGCUCAUGGUCAGCUUUUGGUGGACAUGCUUGAUGAGUUUCGUGCCUUGCGAGCAGAUUUGGAGCAUUUGAGAUGGUCGCCUCCACCACCUCUUUUUGAUGAUGAGUGAUUGCCCUUUGGCAAUUAAUUAGAAAAAAGGGGGAGUACAUAUGUAGAUGAGUUUUUGUAGUUAGGGGGAGAUUUUUGAUGUUUUGGAGCUAUGGAGCUUUUAGAUUGUAUCUAGGUGUUUCAUUCUAUAUUUACAUUUUUGGCUCAUGAUGUAUUCUUUGUUUUUGAUUGGGUUGUCCAUGAUAGGGGGAGAUACAUUGAUGAUAUAUGUUUCUUGUUUCACAUUGUUUAUUGAUUUAUAUUUAUGAGGUUAUUCA